UCGCAUCUGUGCAUGCAGCAUAUCAAUAAGCGGAGGAAAAGAAACUAACUAGGAUUCCCUUAGUAAUGACGAGUAAGCGGGAAGAUCCUACUCGCUUGCGCUAUUUUACCUACGCUUAGGAUGUUGACGCGCGUGUGUGCGUGAUCUAUACAUGACUCUGUGCAUAUCAAUAAGCGGAGGAAAAGGCAAUACCUACGCUUAGGAUGUUGACGCGCGUGUGUGCGUGAUCUAUACAUGACUCUGUGCAUAUCAAUAAGCGGAGGAAAAGAGGGCUAUUACCUACGCUUAGGAUGUUGACGAGACUGUCGAUCUCAUCUAUACAUGGCUCUGUGCAUAUCAAUAAGCGGAGGAAAAGAAACUAACAAGGAUUCCCUUAGUAACGGCGAGUGAAGCGGGAAGAGCUCAAAUUUGAAAUCUUCAAGGUUUUACCUUGACGAAUUGUAGUUUAAAGAAGUGUUUUCUGUUGAAGUUUUGGUAAAAGUUCUUUGGAAUAGGACAUCAUAGAGGGUGAGAAUCCCGUAUUUGACCAUUAUUUUCAGCUGUGUGAUACACUUUCAAAGAGUCGGAUUGUUUGGGAAUGCAGUCCAAAAUGGGUGGUAAAUUUCAUCUAAAGCUAAAUAUUGGCGAGAGACCGAUAGCGAACAAGUACCGUGAGGGAAAGAUGAAAAGAACUUUGAAAAGAGAGUUAAACAGUACGUGAAAUUGUCAAAAGGGAAGCGUUUGACACCAGUGUUGUUUUCUCGAAAAUCAAUUAAAAAGAGUUUGAUUUUGUUGUGUAUUGACCUUAACAGCUUGCAUUUCAAUUUUCUUGCUUUUUUUAAUGCACUUUUCGUUUAACAAGUCAACAUCAGUUUCUUUUGUUGUAAAAAGGUCAUUGGAAGGUGGCUUUCUUUUCGGAGAAAGUGUUUAUAGCCUUUGACUCCUGCAAUCGGAGAGACUGAGGUCUGCAGCGUAGAUCCUUCGGGGUUAGAUACAUUUGUGCUAAGUUAUAGCUUUUUAUAGACAACUUGUUGACUAUGAUUAGUCUUGUAGCUUACUCGCUUAUGCUAUUUUACCUACGCUUAGGAUGUUGACGCGCGUGUGUGCGUG
rnacentral:rRNA from 1 species